GUGGCGAACGGGUGAGUAACACGUGAGUAACCUGCCCUUAACUCUGGGAUAAGCCUGGGAAACUGGGUCUAAUACCGGAUAUGACUCCUCAUCGCAUGGUGGGGGGUGGAAAGCUUUUUUGUGGUUUUGGAUGGACUCGCGGCCUAUCAGCUUGUUGGUGAGGUAAUGGCUCACCAAGGCGACGACGGGUAGCCGGCCUGAGAGGGUGACCGGCCACACUGGGACUGAGACACGGCCCAGACUCCUACGGGAGGCAGCAGUGGGGAAUAUUGCACAAUGGGCGCAAGCCUGAUGCAGCGACGCCGCGUGAGGGAUGACGGCCUUCGGGUUGUAAACCUCUUUCAGUAGGGAAGAAGCGAAAGUGACGGUACCUGCAGAAGAAGCGCCGGCUAACUACGUGCCAGCAGCCGCGGUAAUACGUAGGGCGCAAGCGUUAUCCGGAAUUAUUGGGCGUAAAGAGCUCGUAGGCGGUUUGUCGCGUCUGCCGUGAAAGUCCGGGGCUCAACUCCGGAUCUGCGGUGGGUACGGGCAGACUAGAGUGAUGUAGGGGAGACUGGAAUUCCUGGUGUAGCGGUGAAAUGCGCAGAUAUCAGGAGGAACACCGAUGGCGAAGGCAGGUCUCUGGGCAUUAACUGACGCUGAGGAGCGAAAGCAUGGGGAGCGAACAGGAUUAGAUACCCUGGUAGUCCAUGCCGUAAACGUUGGGCACUAGGUGUGGGGGACAUUCCACGUUCUCCGUACCGUAGCUAACGCAUUAAGUGCCCCGCCUGGGGAGUACGGCCGCAAGGCUAAAACUCAAAGGAAUUGANGGGGCCCGCACAAGCGGCGGANCAUGCGGAUUAAUUCGAUGCAACGCGAAGAACCUUACCAAGGCUUGACAUG
rnacentral:rRNA from 1 species